rnacentral:tRNA from 1 species
GCGUCCUUAGCUCAGCUGGAUAGAGUGACUGGCUACGAACCAGUAGGUCGGGGGUUCGAGUCCCUUAGGGCGCACCA